CAGCAGCCACGCAAUAUAGUGCAAAUA
rnacentral:piRNA from 1 species